rnacentral:rRNA from 1 species
GCUAUAAUGCAAGUCGAGCGAACUGAUUAGAAGCUUGCUUCUAUGACGUUAGCGGCGGACGGGUGAGUAACACGUGGGCAACCUGCCUGUAAGACUGGGAUAACUUCGGGAAACCGAAGCUAAUACCGGAUAGGAUCUUCUCCUUCAUGGGAGAUGAUUGAAAGAUGGUUUCGGCUAUCACUUACAGAUGGGCCCGCGGUGCAUUAGCUAGUUGGUGAGGUAACGGCUCACCAAGGCAACGAUGCAUAGCCGACCUGAGAGGGUGAUCGGCCACACUGGGACUGAGACACGGCCCAGACUCCUACGGGAGGCAGCAGUAGGGAAUCUUCCGCAAUGGACGAAAGUCUGACGGAGCAACGCCGCGUGAGUGAUGAAGGCUUUCGGGUCGUAAAACUCUGUUGUUAGGGAAGAACAAGUACGAGAGUAACUGCUUGUACCUUGACGGUACCUAACCAGAAAGCCACGGCUAACUACGUGCCAGCAGCCGCGGUAAUACGUAGGUGGCAAGCGUUAUCCGGAAUUAUUGGGCGUAAAGCGCGCGCAGGCGGUUUCUUAAGUCUGAUGUGAAAGCCCACGGCUCAACCGUGGAGGGUCAUUGGAAACUGGGGAACUUGAGUGCAGAAGAGAAAAGCGGAAUUCCACGUGUAGCGGUGAAAUGCG